rnacentral:rRNA from 1 species
CAGUAGCCACGGUAAUACAGAGGGUGCGAGCGUUAAUCGGAUUUACUGGGCGUAAAGCGUGCGUAGGCGGCUUCUUAAGUCGGAUGUGAAAUCCCUGAGCUUAACUUAGGAAUUGCAUUCGAUACUGGGAAGCUAGAGUAUGGGAGAGGAUGGUAGAAUUCCAGGUGUAGCGGUGAAAUGCGUAGAGAUCUGGAGGAAUACCGAUGGCGAAGGCAGCCAUCUGGCCUAAUACUGACGCUGAGGUACGAAAGCAUGGGGAGCAAACAGGAUUAGAUACCCCAGUAGUCCCUGUCUCUUAUAA